CCGCGGGGACGUUACAACUCGUCGGGGGCGGCCGCGGCGCCAUUUUGAAUCGGCUGUGGGUCGGAGGCGGUGGCUGCCGAGCGCGGCUCCGCGUCCUCCGAGAAAACCGGGGCGGAGGGAGCGAGGGCCGAACAUGGCGGCGAAUCGGAACUUGAAGCAAGUGCGGAUCGAGAACAGCUCCCCGGCGGCGCCGCUGGGGAUGGUGGGGGGCGGCGGCGGCGGCGGCGGCCUGAAGGGGCUGCGGGGCCUGGAGACGGAGAACGAGGCGGCGGCCAUGGCGCUGGUGCCGGGCAAGGAGGGGGGGGACGAGGAGCAGGAGGGCGGGUUCACCAUCGACAUCAAAAGCUUUCUCAAACCCGGCGAGAAGAGCUACACGCAGCGCUGCCGCCUGUUUGUGGGCAACCUGCCCACCGACAUCACCGAGGAAGAUUUCAAGCGCCUCUUCGAGCGCUACGGGGAGCCCAGCGAGGUCUUCAUCAACCGGGACCGCGGCUUCGGCUUCAUCCGCCUGGAAUCUAGGACACUGGCCGAAAUAGCAAAAGCAGAACUUGAUGGUACUAUUUUGAAGAGCAGACCACUUCGAAUUCGAUUUGCUACGCAUGGAGCUGCCCUAACGGUCAAGAAUCUUUCACCUGUGGUUUCUAAUGAGCUGCUGGAACAAGCAUUCUCUCAAUUUGGACCAGUGGAGAGAGCUGUAGUUGUAGUAGAUGAUCGCGGCAGAGCUACAGGAAAAGGUUUCGUAGAGUUUGCGGCAAAACCUCCGGCACGGAAAGCUCUAGAAAGAUGCAGUGAUGGUGCAUUCUUGCUAACAACAACACCUCGACCUGUUGUUGUAGAGCCAAUGGAGCAAUUUGAUGAUGAAGAUGGGCUCCCAGAGAAGCUAAUGCAGAAAACACAACAGUAUCACAAGGAAAGAGAACAGCCUCCACGUUUUGCUCAACCUGGAACAUUUGAGUUUGAGUAUGCUUCACGUUGGAAGGCUCUUGAUGAGAUGGAAAAGCAACAGCGUGAACAGGUUGACAGGAACAUUAGAGAAGCCAAAGAGAAACUAGAGGCAGAAAUGGAAGCAGCUAGACAUGAGCAUCAGCUAAUGUUGAUGAGGCAAGAUCUCAUGCGGCGUCAGGAAGAAUUGAGACGUUUGGAAGAACUUCGGAAUCAAGAACUUCAGAAACGCAAGCAGAUACAGUUGAGACAUGAAGAAGAGCACAGACGACGUGAAGAGGAGAUGCUACGCCAGAGGGAACAGGAGGAAUUGAGACGGCAGCAGGAGGGAGGAUUUAAGCCAAAUUUCAUGGACAAUGUUACUGUUAAAAUGUUAAAAUGCUGAUGAAGACAGGCUUCUGUAGAAUCCUGCUGCUGCCUUAUGAAUACAAAAGGGAAUUCUAAACCAACCUUUAGAACAAGGUGCUGCAAAAUCACAGUCUUGUGUGCACCAGGCUAAGGAAAAAAGUGAAAAGCAUUUAAUUAGAAAAUCUAAGAAAUGAAAAAGAGUAGUUUUCAGAAAAAGCGAGAACAGAAAAAGGGUCGAAGGAACUCUUGUGGUGGCCAUACAGCCUUAUCCUGGAAGAUGGCUGUGUUGUAACUGUGCAAGUUCAUCCCUUCAAGUUAGAACUUGAACGAGCACCUGAGACAGGACCAGUAGCCCUGCAAGACCAGCGGGCAGUGAUGGGAAGGUUACCAGCACAGGAAUGGGCAGAAGACACAUCAGGAAAAACAGCUGGUGGCAUUUCCUUGCCAGGAAUGUCCAAAUUGCAGGUACUGGGAUGUUCAGGCUCCAGGGUUCAGCUUCUAACACUUUAUAUAGCAGAGAUGAUGGCUGAAACUCAGAUGUGUACCCGAGGUCUUGCCUCUCUUUGUACUGAAAGCGUAUGAGGAACACUUUGUUUCUGGCUCUCCAGCACAAGUACUGCAAAAAGGUGCUCAUAAAGGCUUCACAGUUGUAUGUUCUGGAGCAGGAGCCACAGUAAAUCAUACAUUAAAGUAUCACUUCCGUGACUGUGUUUGAAUUUAAAAACACUGAUUCUGCUUAACUCCAAGGAGGAUGAUAAUAUUAUUAAACACUAAAAUGUACCAAAACACCCUGUCUUAACAGUUCAUAAGGAGGAAAAACAGUGAAUAAAACAAAAUGAAAAAUGUGGGUUUUUUGAUGCCAUGAGGUUCCAAAACUGCAUUGUAACAGCAGUGCUGUAGCUCUCCUUUUUUCAGAGUUUGUUUCUAAUGAAACUCUUUCAAAUAAACUUCCUAUUACUUGUUUAUUAAUUUUGUUUCCUGAACUCAAAGACAGUGAACAAGAACUGAGCAGCUGCUGGGAACCUCUUAGGAGACAAAAAGCAAAGUCGUGUGGGCAUAGAAUAAUUUAAUGUAGUAGUGCAGCAGCAUCAUGAAAACCAAGCUGAGGGUCAUGAUGGCCACAGGGUAAGGAUGGAGGUGUCCAGCACCAAAGACCAUGCAGAAAGACACCAUGUUACCCAGCAAGCUCCAGCACCUGUGAGAGCAAAUGAAUUCAUACCUUCACAGCCAUUUAUUGCUACUGCAGAGAGUAAUCCCAGCUGCUCAGUCUUGCUGAUAAAUAUCAGGAGAAGGAAAAAAACAAGCAAGUAUGCCGAAAGUACUUCUGACCAGUGCCUAAAGUGAUUUUUAUUGUAGCUAUCUCUUUACCUUUUGUCCACCAAAACUUCUCCCUUAGCAGCUGGAUAAAAAGGAUGUAGCAAAAUCAGAUAGAAGUCAGCUUUAAACAUUUUUCACAUCUCUUCAGUAGGAAGCUAGAGCUUAUAUCACCAUCAGAAGAGGAAGAUGGCUGCAAAAUCCAUCCCUCAGUAACAAUGUUAUGAAUGCAGGUUUUCUUCCUCUUUCCUGUAAAACUCCCUUCUGCACCUUAAGCUUCUCAAGACAGGAAGAAGUAUUAAACCUGACAACAGCCCUAACAAACCAACACCACCCACCACCCUCAGCACCACCUCUGACAACUUACUUGCUACGUCAACUCUUGGAGCAACAUUUUGGUUAAACUGUACAGCAGUUCUGCACUGCUUCAAGAUAAUUACAUGGACACCUGUUCAAAACCUUUUUGGGCCCACCUGCACAGUCCUUCCGAGCUCAACCUCUUCCCAGAGGGGCACUGUACACAUGUACUCCUAAGCAUACAAUGCAGGGACAGCCAAGGACAUGGUAACCCCAGGAAAGCUGUCACUCCACCCUAAGGAAACACUGAAGCAUGUCUCCUAUCCACAUUCAUCUUCCAUGACUAUUUGCUAAGACCUACACUUUGAAAUUCAGAAGAAAACCAGCAGCUGCUGGUAGGGACUGUCCUGAUUCUCAGUCACUGCUUUCUGUGCACUGCAGUGUUUAUGCAUAGGAGAGUGAGGUAUCACAGGUUUCAGAGAGAUGCAGGUUCAGACUUGUUAACACACCCAUCAAUCUGCUUGAUUGACUACCUUGAAUGACACCAGAAAUGAGCAUGUCAUGGUGCUGGUGUAGUUUUACACAGAAAAUGUAACAUUCCACAAAACUGAGACAGAUGAUAGUGUGCUUCAUUACUAAGAUUUGACAUCUCUUAGUAUGAAAGUUUUAAACUUUCAAGAACCAGAACUUAAAAGUGGUAAGCUGAAAGUUUUAAUAUAAAGUCACAGUUCUUAAAAGGGUACAACUGAGUGCUCACCAUCAAAAUGGUGCAAAUACAUUAUUUAUCCCCAAUAGUUUCUUAAGCAAUAUAGGCACAUAGUGUCAUGUAAACUACUUGUGGCAACCAGAACAGCAAAGGCACAAUCUAUUUUUCUUUCCUUUACUUUUCAAGAUGUUGUUUAAUUAAUUUACAAAGAAAAAAUACUCUGUACUUCAGGCAGAAGUAUUACAUUUGUAUUACAGCACGGAACCAUUGCAGAACUGCUGUCAUCUGAUAAAAUGGUCACUUAAAGAAAUAAAAAGAUAGAUAGAUAGCAGCUCUUUGCACACAGAAACUGAGAGGGCAACGCCUGUUCUCAUCAGUCAGGCUGAGAACAUCUGAACUCCUCUGUACCUUUUAGCCACCUAUGAAAGCAUUGCCCACAGUUAAGGUAGCAGUUAACAUAUUUUCUGGUUUGCUAGUUCCAGCUAUUUGAAUGUUUUCUCACAUGCCACUUGACUAACAACUCCAAAGUUAAGAUGCCUGUAUAACUAUCAGUUGCUUCUCUAACACAAGAUUAGUUUUAAAGCACUGAUGUAACUAGGAAUCUGACCACAGUGCUCUACUCACUGAGCCUAUCUGGACAUCCUCAUUCACUCCUGCAGACAACUGUCUGUUCAAAGGGAAUCAUGCAGGGCUUUUACACAGGCAAUCCCUCCUGUUCUCCCCCCAGGAAACAACUGCAGGAAGAGUUUGAAACCAGAAUGUGGCCCCCAGCAGUUCAUGGUUAAGCGAUGCAGUGGCUUUCAGGUGUAAUUCCUGCCCACUGCUCUGAGAAUACAAUAGUCCUGCAUUUUACACUGAAACAGUUCAGUUAUUUGAGUAAGUAGAAAAUUGUAGUUCACAAAUGGAAAAGACCCUUCUAUUAAAAAAAAAAAAAA